rnacentral:rRNA from 1 species
AUGAGUGCAACCUCGAUGUUAAACCUUGAGAGGAAAUGGAUCGUGCAUCCUAAGCCAAGACUCAUAACAUUAGAGGGUGUUGAAAUCCAGCGUCAGCUUGCAUCUAACGAUGCAAUGACCCAUGAGAUGGCUACAGCUAUUUUUCGCAGGCUUGGGCAAGUUGAUUUGUUUUUCUCAAAGGACAGUACUGGACAGAUAUGGAGGAAAUUCGUCGAGCCCGACUUUGCUACAACUGUUUUAUCGAACGCCGACCCAAUGACCAUACAAUCAAUCAGGGCCAGCUUCCAAGAAGGAACAUCAUCCUGCAACCCAGCUUCGUGCCGAAUGUGGUACAUCCCGACGAUACUACCUGAUGAUUGGACUGUCUAUGCUUUUGAUAUGUUGCGGAAAAGAAUAAUUGUAUUAGACCCAGCAGUUGGCCUGUUUGGCUAUAGCAACCGCCGAGUCAGCAUGCAUGAAUUUGUGAGCAACAAACUCCAUGCCGCGUUGUUCACAUGCCUCCAGAAUUUCUUCAGCUCUUGGCAUUGUGAAUCAAGCCACUGGGGGCACACUUUUCCGAUCAUAAUGAGGGAAAAGAUUGAGAAAGAGCAGACUGGGUUGUGUGCCACCUUCUUUGCAUGGAAUUACGACGGCGACAAGCUACAGACACCACUAAACAAAGACACACUUGCAUCACACAGCAGCCUAAUGAUCUACGAACUAAUGAGGAUGCAAGGCAACCAAACUCCAGUGGCAAACGACGUCCUUGAAGCGGUCAAAGUAUCGCUCACUGCUCUUUAG